CCCCCAAAAAAAUUCUUAUCAAGAAUUAUAAAUAUUGAAAAACAAUGAAACUGAGAUAGUCCAUCGCUAUGAAGCUGUUUUAGAUUCUUGUUGAUUUUGGUUAGGGUCUGGCGCUGUCCAAUACUGCUUAACUGCAAAAAGAACCUUCUCCCUCGCAUGAGCAGUCCUUUCAUUUUCUGCAAUUAUGACAUCCCAUUGCAUCCCAUUUACGAUGCUCUUGACUUUUAGCAAGAUAUCUACAUCAUCUCGAAUUAUUACACUACCUUCUGGCCU
rnacentral:misc_RNA from 1 species